rnacentral:rRNA from 1 species
CCAAUAGCGUAUAUUAAAGUUGUUGCAGUUAAAAAGCUCGUAGUUGAAUUUCGGGAUCUAUUCAUUGGUCGGGCCUCACGGUCCGUACUGGUGGUAUGGAUUCCUACCUUCUGAAUAACCGGUAUGUCAUUAAUUUGGUGUGCCGGGGAAGCAGGACUGUUACCUUGAAAAAAUUAGAGUGCUUAAAGCAGGCUAUCGCCUGAAUACAUUAGCAUGGAAUAAUGAAAUAGGACGGCAUGGUUCUAUUUUGUUGGUUUCUAGGAUCACCGUAAUGAUUAAUAGGGAUAGUUGGGGGCAUUAGUAUUCAAUUGUCAGAGGUGAAAUUCUUGGAUUUAUUGAAGACUAACUUCUGCGAAAGCAUUUGCCAAGGAUGUUUUCAUUAAUCAAGAACGAAAGUUAGGGGAUCGAAGACGAUCAGAUACCGUCGUAGUCUUAACCAUAAACUAUGCCGACUAGGGAUCGGACGAUGUUAAUUUUUUAAUGACUCGUUCGGCGCCUUACG